GGACGAUUAGCGCAGUCGGUUAGCGCGUCUGCCUUACAAGCAGAAGGUCAUUGGUUCAAGUCCAAUAUCGUCCACCA
rnacentral:tRNA from 1 species